rnacentral:piRNA from 1 species
AAUAGAAAAGAAAUGAGGGUUGG